rnacentral:rRNA from 1 species
CCUACGGGUGGCAGCAGUGGGGAAUAUUGCACAAUUGUGGAAACCCUGCUGCAGCAACGCCGCGUGAGCGAUGAAGGCCUUCUGUUCGUAAAGCUCUUUCCUAAGGGAAGAAUACUUACGGUACCUUAGGAGGAAGCCCCGGCUAACUACGUGCCAGCAGCCGCGGUAAUACUUAGGGGGCUAGCGUUAUCCGGAAUUACUGGUCGUAAAGGGUGCGUAGUCGACCCUUCAAGUAAGAGGUGAAAGGCUACGGCUCAACAGUAGUAAACCUUUGAAACUGUAGGGCUUGAGUGCAGGAGAGGAAAGUGGAAUUCGAAGUGUAGCGGUGAAAUGCGUAGAGAUUGUGAGGAAAACCAGGUGCGAAGGCGGAUCUCUGGACUGUAACUGAAGCUGAGGCACGAAAGCGUGGGGAGAGAACAGGAUUAGAUACCCUUGUAGUC